rnacentral:rRNA from 1 species
AGAGUUUGAUCCUGGCUCAGGACGAACGCUGCGGCGUUAACACAUGCAAGUCGAGCGGUAAGGCCUCUUUGGGGGUACACGAGCGGCGAACGGGUGAGUAACACGUGGGUGACCUGCCCCCUACUCUGGGAUAAGCCUGGGAAACUGGGUCUAAUACCGGAUAUGACCUCGUGCUUCAUGGUGUGGGGUGGAAAGCUUUUGUGGUGGGGGAUGGGCCCGCGGCCUAUCAGCUUGUUGGUGGGGUGAUGGCCUACCAAGGCUUCGACGGGUAGCCGGCCUGAGAGGGCGUCCGGCCACACUGGGACUGAGACACGGCCCAGACUCCUACGGGAGGCAGCAGUGGGGAAUAUUGCGCAAUGGGCGGAAGCCUGACGCAGCGACGCCGCGUGGGGGAUGACGGCCUUCGGGUUGUAAACCUCUUUCGACUUCGACGAAGCCUUCGGGUGACGGUAGGGGUGGAAGAAGCACCGGCCAACUACGUGCCAGCAGCCGCGGUAAUACGUAGGGUGCGAGCGUUGUCCGGAAUUAUUGGGCGUAAAGAGCUCGUAGGCGGUGUGUCACGUCGGCCGUGAAAACCUGCAGCUUAACUGUGGGCGUGCGGUCGAUACGGGCAUCACUGGAGUUCGGCAGGGGAGACUGGAAUUCCUGGUGUAGCGGUGAAAUGCGCAGAUAUCAGGAGGAACACCGGUGGCGAAGGCGGGUCUCUGGGCCGAUACUGACGCUGAGGAGCGAAAGCGUGGGGAGCGAACAGGAUUAGAUACCCUAGUAGUCC